rnacentral:rRNA from 1 species
UGCCAGACUCCUACGGGAGGCAGCAGUGGGGAAUAUUGCGCAAUGGGGGAAACCCUGACGCAGCAACGCCGCGCGCGGGAUGAAGGCUUUCGGGUUGUAAACCGCUUUCAGCAGGGAAGAUAAUGACGGUACCUGCAGAAGAAGCCACGGCUAACUACGUGCCAGCAGCCGCGGUAAUACGUAGGUGGCAAGCGUUAUCCGGAUUUACUGGGUGUAAAGGGUGAGUAGGCGGGAUUGCAAGUCAGAUGUGAAAACUAUGGGCUCAACCGAUAGAGUGCAUUUGAAACUGCAGUUCUUGAGUGAUGGAGAGGCAGGCGGAAUUCCCGGUGUAGCGGUGGAAUGCGUAGAUAUCGGGAGGAACACCAGUGGCGAAGGCGGCCUACUGGGCUUUAACUGACGCUGAGGCACGAAAGCGUGGGUAGCAAACAGGAUUAGAUACCCUGGUACG